UACGUAGGGUGCAAGCGUUGUCCGGAAUUAUUGGGCGUAAAGAGCUCGUAGGCGGUUUGUCACGUCGGCUGUGAAAACCUGGGGCUCAACCCCGGGCCUGCAGCCGAUACGGGCAGACUAGAAUUCGGUAGGGGAGACUGGAAUUCCUGGUGUAGCGGUGGAAUGCGCAGAUAUCAGGAGGAACACCGGUGGCGAAGGCGGGUCUCCGGGCCGACGUUGACGCUGAGGAGCGAAGGCGUGGGGAGCGAACAGG
rnacentral:rRNA from 1 species